GAUCAUAAAUCUAGAACUGAGACUUGAUGCAUGCAUAUAAUAUAUACUCUCCUCCUCCUCUCUGUCUCUUAAAAUUCCCAGCUCCCUUCAAAGCUCAGCUUAAGUUGGGUGAAAGAAGGACAUCAAAGAUGUGUGAGCAGCCCUGAAAACAGCUUGGCACGCCCUCCUACCAGAGAUGCUAUUCCUCCCUGAAUACCCCGUAAAUGAUAAUAAUGGAAAGGAUCACGCUGUCUACAUCCAGGUAUUGCCAUUACCAGUUGGCACCAGCUCUGCCCUGAGUCCAUUUUGAAAGUCAUAUUUUCAAAAACUUCAUCAAGAAUCUCAUCCUAUUUACUUGGGCAGGAAGGCCUAUUACUCCUAUCCUACAGGUUAUAGGAGAGUCAACUGGUACAAGUUUGAGAUCAGUAAUCAAAUCCAGCCACCAACUUGCAAAGAUCUGCUAUGUUCAAGUGAAGAAGACAUCAGAUGAGGAUGCUUUCUUGCUAUAUUUUUACAGCAAAUAACUUUUUGUACAAGCUGAAAUGGAGGAAUUAGUUGGUGGUAAAAGGGAUAGAUGAAGAAUGGAUAUCUCCUCCUUGAAAGCAGGAUCCAGGAGAGGCAGCUGAGGUUUGUCUUGCCGUGAUCUUGACCCAACUGGCACAGUUCAGACCCAGGGCACCAGGAGCUGUGAGAAUAUGAGAAAGAAGAAACCUCAUAGACCAUCCAGUCCAAUCUAUAUCUGUGAAGGAAUCUCUUCUAUAAUAUGUGAACAAGCAAUUAUCUGCCAAUUUCAAUGAAAUGUAGCCCACCUUGCCCUACUCAAACACAGUAGAAUGAGCCAUAGAAAACGCUACAAGAUCUGUAACUAGAGUGGGAUGAGUGGGGCUUUGACUCAGGUCAGAGAUUUUUCCAAAGGGGGAAAAUUAGUUUCAAUUUGUUACAAAUGAGAGUGUAUAUUGAGGGGAAAGGGAGAAUUGGUGAAUAAUGAUAGAUAUGUUUUUUUUAAUUAGUAAAACAUUUUAAAUACCCAGAGGAAAAUAAAAGGAAAUUUGUAAAAGGGCACAAGCUGACAGAACAAUCUUGUUAUUGCCUUAUUAAACAUAAUAUACACUCUUUAAUAAACUGUGCAGCAGAAGCUCCCAUCUUCAAAUACAAUCAAUCCUCUUUUUUGUUCUUUGGAUAUUGAAAUGUUUGUAUUCAUUAAUGAUUAAAUUCAUAAUAAAAAAGACAUUUUGUUAAAUUGCAGUGUUGCUGACAGUGUUUAUAUUGCUGUAAAGAUCAGAGUAGGAAUGGGGUGCAGCCAGAUGGGGAAAGGAUGAAGCUGUGGUUAGGUAAGUUGAUUGCCAAGAAGGAUGACACUGAAGACACAACCAAGGUCCAACUGGAAGUGCAUCUCAACCGCUUCAAGAUGUUUCUUGGGUAGGAGGAAAGAAGAAGAGACCAGCACUGUGGGUUAGUAAGGGAUACCUUUGCCUCAAAACAUUUGAAAAGUGGAAAUGCAGCUUCAAGACAACCAGGAGAUCAGCA